GUCGAACGCGGUUACUCCCGCAAGGGAGUAACUGAGUGGCGAACGGGUGAGUAACACGUGGGUGACCUACCUUCGAGUGGGGGAUAACGUCCCGAAAGGGACGCUAAUACCGCAUGACAUCCUGCCUUUGAACAGGCGGAGAUCAAAGCCGGGGAUCGCAAGGCCUGGCGCUCGUCGAGGGGCCCGCGCCCGAUUAGCUAGUUGGUGAGGUAACGGCUCACCAAGGCGACGAUCGGUAGCCGGCCUGAGAGGGCGGACGGCCACACUGGGACUGAGACAUGGCCCAGACUCCUACGGGAGGCAGCAGUGGGGAAUUGUUCACAAUGGGCGCAAGCCUGAUGACGCAACGCCGCGUGGAGGAUGAAGGUCUUCGGAUUGUAAACUCCUGUUGCUCGGGAAGAACGGCUCCGACCUAACACGUCGGAGUUUGACGGUACCGGGUGAGGAAGCCCCGGCUAACUCUGUGCCAGCAGCCGCGGUAAUACAGAGGGGGCAAGCGUUGUUCGGAAUUACUGGGCGUAAAGGGCGCGUAGGCGGCCUGCUAAGUCGAACGUGAAAUCCCCGGGCUCAACCCGGGAACUGCGUCCGAUACUGGCAGGCUUGUAUCCGGGAGAGGGAUGCGGAAUUCCAGGUGUAGCGGUGAAAUGCGUAGAUAUCUGGAGGAACACCGGUGGCGAAGGCGGCAUCCUGGACCGGCAUUGACGCUGAGGCGCGAAAGCCAGGGGAAGCAAACGGGAUUAAAUACCCCGGU
rnacentral:rRNA from 1 species